rnacentral:lncRNA from 1 species
CUUGCUCUGUUGCCAAGACUGGAAUGCAGAGGCGCGAUCUCCGCUCAUUGCAGGCUCCGCCUCCACUUGACUCAGGGAACACACAGCAGUGGGAGCCAAGGCUGUCAGCGAUCGAGGACCACAGUAUACCUGAUGCCCUCCCUCCUGACCUGUGAUUGGGAUUGAGCUGAAGAUAGUCACUGACAUGAUUCAAAGGAUUAGCACUUGGUACAGGUUCCCUCUGUGUGCCGGGCAGUAUGCCAGUUAAUUCAAGUGCAUGUCAGACCCAGAGGGUGACAUCCUGUGACUCAGAUGCUAGGGCCCUUAUGAUGCCUGGUAAGGAUGAACCGUUGUCCACAUUCUGUUUUCUGAGUCAAAGAGGAGGAAGAUCUGUCCAUCGAAACUGAGCUGCCAAGAUCCACUGCCGUGUCCUUCGGCUUUCUGCUCACAAGACAUCCUGGCCUGCAGGGUGAGGGGUUCUGCCCCCAUCAAAGAGAGAUCAGCUCUGGCCUUGACAGAUAUUGAGCCCCCAUCCUCUUCCACUUGCAAUUUCCUGGUCUUACUUGCUCUGCCACAUCCUGGCCUUGCCUCUAGACGUCUUG